rnacentral:rRNA from 1 species
UUGACCUCGGAUCAGGUAGGAAUACCCGCUGAACUUAGCAUAUCAAUAAGCGGAGGA